rnacentral:lncRNA from 1 species
CUAUUAUGUGGAAACAUAUUACAACGAUGAUAAUAUAUGACACACAAAUAGGGAGAUACUAAAUCACGCAUUGGAGCUAAUACUAUUAUUUAACAUAGGUUUUGAAAAUUACCUAAAAUCAAAUUGUUGAUCCUUAUAUAGAUUCUACAGCGAUUCUACCCUCCAAUCCAUAUCCCGAUACGAGAACGAUACUACCCGAAAGCGAUACUGUCAUUUCAUUUAGGUAGUAUCAUUGUAUCAACACAUAUCCCGAUGCUGACACCUUAAAUGUGUUGGCAGCGGAGGAGGUUCGGAGCAGCGGAGGAUGCGGCGGGGAGGACCGGAUCUGGCCUUGGGACGACCUCCGAAGGGCCGGAUCCAUCUCCGGUAAACAGGUACUUCUCCAGCGACCCGUUUGGCACGUACUCAUACACUGAUGGAAAUCAAAGCAACUCACGCGAUCGCAGUGGACACAACUCUCACUUACACGUGAAAAACACAAGGAAGAAGACCAACGCAACACAGAGUAUUUGCGGCACCGCACUGAACUUAGUGCCCUUUUCUGGUUUAUCUUCUCAAUUAACAAACUGAUUACAAUAUGCACCUAUUUAUAAUACAAACUAAUGA